GAUACUGAAUAGCUACCUGGUGAAGACACAAGAUGGAAAAGCACAAACAUGGCUGUGUACAUUACAUAUAUUAACUUAAGCCAUAAGUACCCGCAGAUAUAUUUUACAAGAGGAAUAAAUGUUUAUAAAAGUCAAGCGCCCACUGAUGCUGGAGUGUGGAGUCCAUGACUUGUAGUAAAGACAUGAAACAGAAGUGAGAAAAUGUCGACAUCAGUCAUCUAUGAAUGAAGAUGGAGAUCAAGUGACUAGUCUCUAUCCUAAAAUUUCUGAGGAAAAUAGUGUUGUCUGGCUCAUCCAAUGAUCACUCCAUUUGCAGACUACCAGGUUCCAAUCUGAAGUAUACGUAGGAAGAGUAAAAUCUUUUUCAUUCAAAUAACUACUUACUAGCUGUGAUCCAGAUGAACGUCCUGAUUGUUUUGUCCAACAUAAGAUGACUUUCAAUCUGACAC